AAGGCUGCUAAUUUGCUGAUGACAAGGGGAGCUCGGACAAAUCAGACAAAGAGGAUUGGGAAUGUACCUGGGAUUGAAGUUGGUGACAUAUUCUUCUCCAGGUUCUGCAAGAAGGCCGGAUCUAAAGGCUGCUAAUUUGCUGAUGACAAGGGGAGCUCGGACAAAUCAGACAAAGAGGAUUGGGAAUGUACCUGGGAUUGAAGUUGGUGACAUAUUCUUCUUCAGGAUGGAAUUGUGCCUGGUUGGUUUGCAUGCACCUAGUAUGGCUGGGAUAGAUUAUAUGAGUGUCAGACUUACAGGGGAUGAAGAGCCUGUUGCUGUUAGCAUAGU
rnacentral:lncRNA from 1 species